rnacentral:lncRNA from 1 species
UGAAUUGAACCAGAAGCUGCUGUUUUUUUUCCUUCUUCCCAGUUGUCUGGUUUCUAUCAAUAGUGAAGGAGGCAGUUGAGGGGAAUCUCUUAAGGGACUUCAGUACCAAGUAACCUCCUCCAUUUUGAUAUUCUCUUCCAGUCUGCCUAAUUGAUUUGAUUCUAAGAAGAGGGGCUGUGUGUUUAUACCCAGGUCUUUUAUUGAUUUGAUUCUAAGACGGGGCUGUGUGUUUAUACCCAGGUCUUUUAUUGAUUUGAUUCUAAGGGCUGUGUGUUUAUACCCAGGUCUUCUAUUGAUUUGAUUCUAAGACGGGGCUGUGUGUUUAUACCCAGGUCUUUAAUUGAUUUGAUUCUAAGGGCUGUGUGUUUAUACCCAGGUCUUUUAUUGAUUUGAUUCUAAGGGUU